GACGAACGCUGGCGGCGUGCUUAACACAUGCAAGUCGAACGAAGUGGCGAACGGGUGAGUAACGCGUAAUCAACCUGCCCUUCAGAGGGGGACAACAGUUGGAAACGACUGCUAAUACCGCAUACUGAAGGUGGUGAUUGCGUCUGAUUAGCUAGUUGGCGGGGUAACGGCCCACCAAGGCGAUGAUCAGUAGCCGGGCUGAGAGGAUGAACGGCCAAAUUGGGACUGGGAAACGGGCCAGAAUCCUACGGGAGGCAGCAGUGGGGAAUCUUCCGAAAUGGAGGAAAGUCUGACGGAGCAACUCCGCGUGAGUGAUGACGGCCUUCGGGUGGUAAAGCUCUGUUAAUCGGGACGCGGUACCGGAAGAGAAAGCCACGGCUAACUACGUGCCAGCAGCCGCGGUAAUUC
rnacentral:rRNA from 1 species